UGCAGGUGUAAAGGAUGAUGACUCUGCAACAGUUACAGACAUAGAUCAAGGUCAUGAAGAAGAUAUCUGUAAAAUAUGUUGGGACACAAAAAUAAACUGUGUAUUGCUAGAGUGUGGCCAUAUAGUAGUGUGUUUAGGUUGUGCAGCACUUGUGAAUAUUUGUCCUAUUUGUCGCUCAAAUAUUAAGAGAGCUGUGAAAACUUACCGCACAUAGAAGCAGACAGUUUUGUUAUGUUUUACAUUAUUCCUCAUUGUAUCGCCUCUACGAAGUAGUGGCGACAUAUAGGGAUCACUUUUCUAUCGUCUGAUUGUCUGUCUGUCAGUACGUCUUGUCACCAAACUUGUUCAGACUACUCCUCAAAAACUGUAUUUGUAAUUUUAUCCAAACUU